rnacentral:lncRNA from 1 species
CCCCAGCCUCAUUCUUAGCCCACAGCCAACUGAGAACUGGUGAUUCCCCAUCUCUUAGGAAGGCUGCUAGACUCAUGCAAGUCAUUUGUAGGAGCUGUGCAAUUUGUCAUCCAUUCUGAACAUUUUUGAGAAUGAAAGGGAGCACGUUCAAUAAUUUUCCUGGGACCACAGUUGUAACCUGGGACUCUCCUGGGGAAUUGAUGUUACUUAAGAUGGUGGUUUGCAAACUUUACCACGCAUAAGG